rnacentral:tRNA from 1 species
GGGCCGUUAGCUCAAUUGGUAGAGCAUCUGACUCUUAAUCAGCAGGUCCCCGGUUCGACUCCGGGACGGCCCA